rnacentral:rRNA from 1 species
GACGAACGCUGGCGGCGUGCUUAACACAUGCAAGUCGAGCGGUAAGGCCCUUUCGGGGGCACACGAGCGGCGAACGGGUGAGUAACACGUGGGUGACCUGCCCUCAGCUCUGGGAUAAGCCUGGGAAACCGGGUCUAAUACCGGAUAUGACUCCAUGACGCAUGUUGUGGGGUGGAAAGCCUUGUGCGGCUGAGGAUGGGCCCGCGGCCUAUCAGCUUGUUGGUGGGGUGAUGGCCUACCAAGGCGACGACGGGUAGCCGGCCUGAGAGGGCGACCGGCCACACUGGGACUGAGACACGGCCCAGACUCCUACGGGAGGCAGCAGUGGGGAAUCUUGCGCAAUGGGCGAAAGCCUGACGCAGCGACGCCGCGUGAGGGAUGACGGCCUCGGUUGUAAC